rnacentral:rRNA from 1 species
GAUGAACGCUGACAGAAUGCUUAACACAUGCAAGUCAACUUGAACUUCGGUUUGGGUGGCGGACGGGUGAGUAACGCGUAAAGAACUUGCCUCACAGAUAGGGACAACAUUUGGAAACGAAUGCUAAUACCUGAUAUUAUGAUUUUAGGGCAUCCUAGGAUUAUGAAAGCUAUAUGCGCUGUGAGAGAGCUUUGCGUCCCAUUAGCUAGUUGGAGAGGUAACGGCUCACCAAGGCGAUGAUGGGUAGCCGGCCUGAGAGGGUGAUCGGCCACAAGGGGACUGAGACACGGCCCUUACUCCUACGGGAGGCAGCAGUGGGGAAUAUUGGACAAUGGACCAAGAGUCUGAUCCAGCAAUUCUGUGUGCACGAUGAAGUUUUUCGGAAUGUAAAGUGCUUUCAGUUGGGAAGAAAAAAAUGACGGUACCAACAGAAGAAGUGACGGCGAAAUACGU